rnacentral:rRNA from 1 species
AUUGAACGCUGGCGGCCGGCCUAACACAUGCAAGUCGAGCGGAGUGGCUGACGGGCGAGUAAUGCCCAGGAAUCUGCCUGGUAGUGUGGGAUACGAUCCCGGUACGGGACCUUAUACCGCACACCAACUGCUGACCCUUGGUCGGCUUCGCUAUUUGGUGGGUUAAAGGCCUACAAAGGUGACGAUCCGUAACUGGUCUGAGAGGAUGAUCAGUCACACUGGAACUGAGACACGGUCCGGACUCCGACGGGAGGCAGCAGUGGGGAAUAUUGGACAAGGGGCGAAAGCCUGAUCCAGCCAUGCCGCGUGUGUGAAGAAGGUCUUCGGAUUGUAAAGCACUUUAAGUUGGGAGGCGUUACCAACAGAAUAAGCACCGGCUAACUUCGUGCCAGCAGCCGCGGUAAUAC